rnacentral:lncRNA from 1 species
CAACGACGAAAAAAUGAAAGAGUUGGAAAGGGACACCACUCUCUCAAUAAUAUCAGAGGGCAAAACACACAAAAAAUUACGUAAACUUGGGAAAAUAAUUAAUUUACCAUGGCAAUAAAGGGUUUUCGUUGGAAAUCAGAAGUAUUUAAGAUGGCACUGUAUAUCUAUGUUCCUAUUAUGACAUGGUAUGUUUACAACACAGAUUUUGUUCAGAAAAAAUUUAUCUACCCCAGUCUUAAGAAACGCAAUUAUUCACUUUACCAGAAGCUGUUGUUAGAUGAGGAUGAAAAUGAUAACCCGUAAAUUACUGAUGAAGUGAAAACAGAUCUGUGAUAAUCUGGUCAACUGUGUCUAUAAUGAAAUGUGAAAUCAAUUAACAUUACCUGUGAAUGAAACCAGUCUGAUGUGAUUCUAGCUGUGAGGGAACAUUUUACUCAUACGUAACUACAGUGGAGACGUGUGAUUUUAAUUUUGAACUUUUUAACCAUGAACUUCCGUGUUUCAGUUUUUGUUGCUACUUGUGUACAAGAGACCAUAUUCAUUUAGAAAAACAGGUUAUUUGAGCAGUAUGUAUAAACAUGUUAUUGUUUAAUAUGGACCGGUGAGCCAAUUACUUAUCAAGACUACAUUAACUUUCUGUUUACUGACAUCUCUGUAUGAAUGAUGGAUGUGUUCUUGUGAGGCGCCUUUGAACUAUUUAUCAUGAAAAGGGUGCUAUAUAAAUCUGGUAUAAUAUAAUAUGAUAUAAUAUAUCGGUUAUAACUAAUAAACAUGUGCUGCCAUGUUUCUCUAAAUGACAAGUAUUGACACUAAAUUUAGUUUGAGUUGUAUAUUUAUGUAAUGCACUGAAGGUACAGUUGAUAACUACUUAUAGUUUAGGACAACAUGUCAGUGAGCGAGUGGAUAUAAUCACAUUUGAGUCGCUCCAUGAGAAAACCAACAUAGUGUGUUUGCGACCGGCAUAGAUCCAGACCAGCCUGCACAUCCGCGCAGUCUGGUCAGGAUCCAUGCUGUUCAUUUUCAAAGCUUAUUGCAAUUAGAGGAACUGUUAGCGAACAGCAUGGAUUCAGACCAGACUGCACAGAUGCGCAGGCUGGUCUGGAUCCAUGCUGGUCGCAAACGCACUAUGUUGGUUUUCUCAUGGCACGGCUCAUUUGUUAUUUGAUAAUGAUUGAACCAUUUACUUAAAUAUUAAAUGUAUAUUUUGAUUUACUGAUAUCAUUGUCAGACAGAUUGCCAUGUUCAACAUAUGUAGUAUCAGAUGAUAAGCAUGUUUGUAUCUGUUUGCUCUUAUGUCUCUGUACGCUAAAUGAUAAGUAAUGUUUACCAGAUAUUUUACUAUAUAUACAUUCAGGGACUAAGAGUUGCCUAACUAUAAAUGAUCUUACUAAAUUUGAAUAAAUCCAGUAUCUAUAUGCACAAAUUAAGGAGUUAAUAUGUUCUUUUGUGGAUUUAUGUGAAGGUCACAGUUCAGAAUAAAUAAUAUUAUUUUUGAGCAGUGUGAUUGUUUAUUUGUGUAUGUUUCAUUCAUUGUCUACAUGAGGUACAAUUGUGAGUAAAUGAAAGAGUUGACACAUUAUGUAGAAAUAUAAAAAAAUAAAAUAUUUGACAGAAUAAA